GCGAACGGGUGAGUAACACGUGGGUGACCUACCUCCGAGUGGGGGAUAACGUCCCGAAAGGGACGCUAAUACCGCAUGACGUUCCGGGUUUGAAGACCUGGAAACCAAAGCCGGGGACCGCAAGGCCCGGCGCUUGGAGAGGGGCUCGCGUCCGAUUAGCUAGUUGGUGAGGUAAAGGCUCACCAAGGCAACGAUCGGUAGCCGGCCUGAGAGGGCGGACGGCCACACUGGGACUGAGACACGGCCCAGACUCCUACGGGAGGCAGCAGUGGGGAAUUGUUCGCAAUGGGCGCAAGCCUGACGACGCAACGCCGCGUGGAGGAUGAAGGUCUUCGGAUUGUAAACUCCUGUCGACCGGGACGAACGGCCCGCGACCUAACACGUCGUGGGAGUGACGGUACCGGUGGAGGAAGCCCCGGCUAACUCUGUGCCAGCAGCCGCGGUAAUACAGAGGGGGCAAGCGUUGUUCGGAAUUACUGGGCGUAAAGGGCGCGUAGGCGGCCUGCUAAGUCGAACGUGAAAUCCCCGGGCUCAACCCGGGAACUGCGUCCGAUACUGGCGGGCUUGAAUCCGGGAGAGGGAUGUGGAAUUCCAGGUGUAGCGGUGAAAUGCGUAGAUAUCUGGAGGAACACCGGUGGCGAAGGCGGCAUCCUGGACCGGUAUUGACGCUGAGGCGCGAAAGCCAGGGGAGCAAACGGGAUUAGAUACCCCGGUAGUCCUGGCCCUAAACGAUGAAUGCUUGGUGUGACGGGUAUCGAUCCCUGUCGUGCCGAAGCUAACGCAUUAAGCAUUCCGCCUGGGGAGUACGGUCGCAAGGCUGAAACUCAAGGAAUUGA
rnacentral:rRNA from 1 species